rnacentral:rRNA from 1 species
AGUAAAAGUCGUAACAAGGUUUCCGUAGGUGAACCUGCGGAAGGAUCAUUAACGAGUAAAUGGGAAGGGUUGUUGCUGGCUUCAAAAGAGGAGCACCGUGCACACCUGACUCAAUCCACUCUCAAACCCCUGUGCACUUAUUGUAGGCUUGGUGACUGAAGAGCUCGCGAGAGUUCUGACGAAGCUGGGUCUAUGUUUUUAUAAACGCUUCAGUUUAAGAAUGUUACUCGCGUAUAACGCAAUAAAUACAACUUUCAGCAACGGAUCUCUUGGCUCUCGCAUCGAUGAAGAACGCAGCGAAAUGCGAUAAGUAAUGUGAAUUGCAGAAUUCAGUGAAUCAUCGAAUCUUUGAACGCACCUUGCGCUCCUUGGUAUUCCGAGGAGCAUGCCUGUUUGAGUGUCAUGGUAUUCUCAACUCUACAAAGCUUUUGCAAUGCAGAGUUGGAUUUGGAGGUUUGUGUCGGCUUGAGAAAGUUGACUCCUCUGAAAUGCAUUAGUGUGAACCUUUACGGAUCGCCUCCAGUGUGAUAAUGUCUACACUGUGGUGUUGAAGUAUCUCUAGUGUUCAUGCUUCUAAUCGUCUCUUUGAGACAAUUACCUGACAAUCUGACCUCAAAUC